UUGCCCAGUGAACACCUAUAGUGCUUCAUGUUGCCUUGGCUUUGACUCUGUGCUGGAGCAAUGUCUGGUCUUUUCCUCUUCAUUAAAAAUAAUUUAUCCUUCUAAAUGUAUUUAAAAAGCUGGGACAUUU